UACGUAGGGUGCGAGCGUUAAUCGGAAUUACUGGGCGUAAAGCGUGCGCAGGCGGUUGGCAAAGUCAGCUGUGAAAGCCCCGGGCUUAACCUGGGAAUGGCCGUUGAAACUGGCGAACUGGAGUGUGGCAGAGGGGGGUGGAAUUCCGCGUGUAGCAGUGAAAUGCGUAGAGAUGCGGAGGAACACCGAUGGCGAAGGCAGCCCCCUGGGCUAACACUGACGCUCAGGCACGAAAGCGUGGGGAGCAAACAGG
rnacentral:rRNA from 1 species